rnacentral:misc_RNA from 1 species
GAUGAAGAACGUAGCGAAAUGCGAUAAGUAAUGUGAAUUGCAGAAUUCAGUGAAUCAUCGAAUCUUUGAACGCACAUUGCGCCCCUUGGUAUUCCGAGGGGCAUGCCUGUUCGAGCGUCAUUAUAACCCCUCAAGCUCAGCUUGGUGUUGGGGCCUGCUGCACUGGCAGCCCUUAAAAUCAGUGGCGGCGCCAUCUGGCUCUAAGCGUAGUAAUUCUUCUCGCUAUGGAGUCCUGGUGGAUGCUUGCCAUCAACCCCCAAUUUUUCUAUGGUUGACCUCGGAUCAGGUAGGGAUACCCGCUGAACUUGAGCAUAUCAAUAAGCGGAGGA